GAAGAGUCACCUCUUUCGGGCUGGGCUUCACACUCAAGUAAGAGCUACUGGCCAGAUGGAGCCCAGCACCUCAACCAGAUAAUACAGGAGUUGUCAGAUGCCCUGACCUACUGCCAUGAGAAGAAGGUGAUUCACAUGGACAUCAAGCCAGAGAAUCUCCUGCUGGGCCUCAAUGGUGAGGUGAAGAUCUCAGACUUUGGGUGGUCUGUGCAUUCCCCUUCUCUCAGGAGAAAGACAAUGUGUGGGACUCUGGACUACUUGCCCCUGGAAUGAUAGAGCAGAAACCGUACAAUGAGAUGGUUGAUCUGUGGUGCAUUGGGGUGCUCUGCUUUGAGCUGCUGGUGGGGAAGCCACCCUUUGAGAGCAGCACCUCCAGUGAGACAUAUAGACAUAUCUGCCAGGUGGAUUUUAAGUUUCCUUCAUCAGUGCCUGCAGGAGCCCAGGACAUGAUCUCCAAGCUUCUUAGUCACCAUUCUUCAGAGCAGCUGAGCCCGGCCCAGGUCCUGAAGCACCCCUGGGUCAGGGAACACUCUCGAAGGGUGCUGCCUCCCUGUGUUCAUGGGGCUUCCUGAGCCCUGUCCAUCUCUAUCCCUAUGUAUUUCUUCAGGAAGCUCUCCAGGCUCUGUUUGUUAGUGCAUGUGGCUUGCUUGUUUUCUCUUUUAUGAAGUGAUGUUAAUUAAAACUGAUUACUUUAGCAUCAA
rnacentral:lncRNA from 1 species